rnacentral:tRNA from 1 species
GCGGGAAUAGCUCAGUUGGUAGAGCAUAACCUUGCCAAGGUUGGGGUCGCGAG